AGAGAAACAGGAUAAGACAAGGUGUAGAAAGUGUCAGGAGUGAAGAAGGGAUUCACAGAGGAGACGCUUUUUGAACUGGAUCCUGAGGAGUUAGGACUUGGGAAUUUCAAGUAAUUAAAACAUCUUGCGAAAAGGGAUGAAGUUGUAAAAAAAAAAAAAAGUGGGCUGAGAGCCACGAAAACUUUGGUGUGGGCGGUCCUUGGCCAGCUGCCUGGUGUCUUUCCCUGAAUUCAGGCUCAAUCCUGGGCUGAGGCCAUGGAGACUCAUGUGCAGAUCAGCCCUACCCCAGAAGUUGAACCCAUAUCUACUCUUAGUCAGAGGAAGUGUAAGCUCAUCUAAUCAGUAUCUGGUCAGCUGGGCUCCAGGUUCUGUUCUGAACUCCUGUUUCAUCUCCAGCUGUGGCAGCUUGAUCCACGAUGGCUAUUGCCUGCCAGAUUGCUCCUCUUCAUCCUCUCAGGUAGAGUACAGACUGAUAACCUCUUGUUGAAAAUCUCUGAUGACCACCAUAUAGCCGGCCCAUCACUGCCUAAACAGGAACUCCCAUCUACAAUCUGUUUCAACUGCCUGACAGAGCUUCCCCUAGAGUCCUCACAUAAACAAACUCGGUUUGGUUCCCCACUGAUGGAAUUUCUAAACGUCAUUCCAUCUCUUGCUAAUGCUCUACCGUGGUGUUGGUAGCACCAAACAUAUGCUGUGGGGGACACAGCAUAUGCAAUAUGCUUCAGCAAGUUCCCCAUAAGCAUUUGGACUUAGAGAAGACUCUUGAGGGUCCCUUGGAAAGCAAGGAGAUUGAAACCAGUCCAUCCUAAAGGAAAUCAACCCUGAAUAUUCACUGGAAGGACUGAUGCUGAAGCUGAAGCUCCAAUACUUUGGCCACCUGAUGCGAACAGCCAACUCACUGGAAAAGACCAUGAUGCUGGGAAAGAUUGAAGGCCAAAGGAGAAGGGGGCAACAGAGGAUGAGAUGGUUAGAUAGCAGCACUGACUCGAUGGACAUGAAUCUGAGCAAACUCCAGGAGAUAGUGAAGGACAGAGGAGCCCGGCAUGCCGCAGUUCAUGGGAUCACAGAGAUGGAUACCACUUAGUGGCUGAACAAUAACAAGAUCCUCAAGUUCCAAGAUAUCUUCCAAAAAGAAACUAGAGAAAGACCCAAGUAAAGCCAUUGUCAAUUCUUCUCCAUCUCAAUGGAGGUGUUGUUUUGCUCCAC